ACCACUUCUGUCCAUGUAGCUAUAAAGGAGAGCCCUUACCAAAGUGCAAAUGGAGAAGUCGGCAAGAAAGCAGACAGUGCUCUCAUAGUCUGAAUCCUGGAAAAUAUCGAUUUCAUUACUGAGGAAUUAUUCCUCAAACAACUGGAGAGUCAACAGGGAUAGCUGCUGGCAAAGCAGAACUCUAAGCAGCAGUAAUCUAAUACAGCGUGCAGCUUCUUUUUCACAAGGAGGAAGGUCUGGAGAAGUGGCACCAUUAUUGUACGUGUGUGCAAAACUCAUAAAGCACUAAGCAUAAUUCUGUUGGUUUUGAAAGUGCCUGCUUCACAUUGGGAUGAAUUAGAAGUUCAGUUCACACACCAUGCUGUUAUACUGGAUGUUGGGUUGGGAUGCCAGUCAACUCGCCCAUCAAUUAUGGAACCCCACCUGUCCAGCCUGCUGACCAGCGUCGGGACAGACAAGUUGGACAAACUCUUUCAGAGUCUCCUGAGGAUGAUAGCGGAUUGCUGGGUGUGAGAAGUAUGGCCCAGGCUGUUGAAUAAUGGGUGAUGUUGGAAAAUGAAGAGUCGAUGGUGUUGCAUGUGGACUUGCUAUAAGAAAAAAACACAAGAUGUUAUAAGGAAUAGAUUUUUGGACUUCAAUAAACACAGUUCAUAUCUAUCUAUCUAUCUAUCUAUCUAUCUAUCUAUCUAUCUAUCUAUCUAUCUAUCUAUCUAUCUAUCUAUCUAUCUAUCUAUCCUCCAAUUAUUUUAAUAUAUCCCUUAAUUAAAAAAAAUCCUCCCAAAAUUUAUACACUCUAGAGUACAUGGCGAAGGUUCUAUGUACUGAUCUUUCAAUUUUAUAGCAUUUCAAGUAUAAAUGCAGAUUUAAAUGCAGCCAAUUUUAAAAUGUCUUUUCUGCAUUUUUAGUGGUCAUCAUUUAUAAAGGAGCCAGAAGACCUUGGUAAAAGUGACAACUAUUAAUUACCUUAAGAGCCUUUCUAAUGA